AGAGCGAACGCUGGCGGCAGGCCUAACACAUGCAGGUCGAGCGCCCGUAGCAAUACGGGAGCGGCAGACGGGAUAGUAACACGUGGGAACGCGCCCUUCGGUUCGGAAUAACUCAGGGAAACUUGAGCUAAUACCGAAUACGCCCUUACGGGGAAAGAUUUAUUGCCGAAGGAACGGCCCGCGUCCGAUUAGCUAGUUGGUGAGGUAAUGGCUCACCAAGGCUACGAUCGGUAGCUGGUCUGAGAGGAUGACCAGCAUCACUGGGACUGAGACACGGCCCAGACUCCUACGGGAGGCAGCAGUGGGGAAUAUUGGACAAUGGGCGCAAGCCUGAUCCAGCCAUGCCGCGUGGAUGAUGAAGGCCUUAGGGUUGUAAAGUCCUUUUAACGGGGAAGAUAAUGACGGUACCGUAGAAUAAGCCCCGGCUAACUUCGUGCCAGCAGCCGC
rnacentral:rRNA from 1 species